AAAUCAAAACACUCUAUGAAUGUGGGCUUAUCAGAAGCUCAAAAUGGAGACGUGUCUCAAGAUGCAGUGGAAAAUACAAAAGCUAAAAAAACUCCCCAGAAAUCCACCAUAUUAACCAAUGGAGAAGCAGCAAUGCAGUCUCCCAAUUCAGAAUCAAAAGAGAAAAACAGAGAAUGAUGCUGGGACUGAUACAAAAAAAGCAAAAACUGAAAACAGAAGAAUCUGAAGAAGAAAGUGCUGAGACUCCUAAAGAAACAGAAAAUAAUGUGGAGAAGCCAGAUAAUGAUGACAACAUUGAGGUGCCCAGCCUACCCCUGGGACUGACAGGAACGUUUGAGGAUACUUCAUUUGCCUCUCUAUGUAAUCUUGUCAACCAAAACACUCUGAAGUUUAAAAAAAAAAAAAAAAGGGUUUUACACACAUGACUGAAAUUCAGCAUAAAAGUAUCAGACCACUUCUGGAAGGCAGGGAUCUUCUAGCAGCUGCAAAAACAGGCAGUGGUAAAACCCUGGCUUUUCUCAUCCCUGCAGUUGAACCCAUUGUUACAAUUCAUGCCCAGGAAUGCAUCGGAAGUCCUUGUUCUCUCAUCUACUAGAGAGCUAGCCAUGUAAACUUUCGGUGUUCUUAAGGAGCUAAUGACUCACCACGUGCACACCUAUGGGUUGAUAAUGGGUGGCAGUAACAGAUGUGCUGAAGCACAGAAACUUGCUAAUGAGAUUAACAUCAUUGUGGCCACACCACGCCGUCUGCUGUACCAUAUGCAGAAUAUCCCAGGGUUUAUGUAUAAAAUCUGCAGUGUCUGGUUAUUGAUGAAGUCGAUUGUAUCUUGGAUGUUGGGUUUGAAGAGGAAUUAAAGCAAAUAUUUAAACUUUUGCCAACACAUAGACACACUAUGCUCUUUUUCUGCCACCCAAACUUGAAAAGUUGAAGGCCUGGCAAGGAUUUCUCUGAAAAAGGACCAUUUUAUGUUAGUGUUGAUGAUGAUAAAGCUAAUGCAACAGUGGAUGGUCUGGAGCAGAGAGAUGUUGUUUGUCCUUCUGGAAAGAGAUCCCUUCUGCUCUUUACACUCCUUAAGAAGAACUGAAAGCAGCAGCUCAUGGUCUUCUUUUCAUCUUGUAUGUCCGUGAAAUACCACUAAAACUUGCUGAACUACAUUGAUUUGCCCGUCUUGGCCAUUCAUGGAAAGUAAAAGCAAAAUAAAUGUACAACCACAUUCUUCCAGUUCUGCAAUGCAGAUUUGGGAACCCUAUUGUGUACGGAUGUGGCAGCAAGAAGACUGGACAUUCCUGAAGUCGAAUGGAUUGUUCACUAUGACCAUCUGGAUGACACUAAGGAAUAUAUUCAUCAUGUGGGUAGAACAGCCAGAGGCCUCAAUGGAAGAACGCAUGCCUUGACCAUUUUGGGCCCAGAAGAAUUUGGUUUUCUUCGCUACUUGAAACAAUCCAAGGUUCCAUUAAGUGAAUUUGACUUUUCCUGGUCUAAAAUUUCUGACAUUCAGUCUCAGCUUGAGAAAUUGAUUGAAAAGAAUUACUUUCUUUGUAAGUCAGCCCAGGAAGCAUUCAAGUCAUACAUACGAGCCUAUGAUUCCCAUUCUCUGAAACAGAUCUUUAAUGUAAAUAACUUAAAUUUGCUUCAAGUUGCUCUGUCCUUUGGUUUCAAGGUGCCUCCCUUUGUUGAACGUCAACGACAAUGAAGGCAAGCAGAAAAAGCGAGGAGGUGGUGGUGGAUUUGGCUACCAGAAAACCAAGAAAGUUGAGAAGUCCAAAAUCUUCAAGAAAGUUGAGAAGUCCAAAAUCUUUACACACAUUAGCAAGAAAUCAUCUGACAGCAGGCAGUUCCCUCACUGA